UUCUUUUUUCUUCUCGCCGUUUCGUUUCCCCUUAUUCUCGAUGUAAGCUCAUGUUUUGAUUUAAUCUCCCAUUCAAUAUUGUUUUACAGGUAAAAGAUGUCAAGGCAAGGUUUAGUCUUUUUGGAUCAAGUUCUAAAGCGUUGCAAGGCCACCUCAAUAAAACAGGAUGUAUUCUCUCUGUCCUUUUCCCUUUCAUUGUGUUCUAAAGUGAACGAAAUGUCGUUUUCUCACACCAUUGGCAGAUUGCGUAGCAGUCGGGAUGAAAAUAAUGAUGGUGGUGUCCUUUGUACACUCGUGGGAGAUAGCUUCAAAGGUAAAUAUAGAAAUCCGGGCUGCAUUUCUCCCUCCACGUAAUAUACUAUGUAAGAUUUAAAUGAGGGGAACUACGAAUUCUAUCCGUUUUAAAUGAACCUACCCAGCACAAAGGGUAAGCUUUUACUUUUUCUAUUGUGUGAUUUGGAUUCUUGGGGCCGGUUGUAUGUCCACACCAUGCAUGUGAAACUUAUUCUCAUGUGACAUGGCAUUAAUAUGUUUUUUAUGUACCAAAUAUUCUCAACUUUAAAGGACAUGAUCUGUUGGCACUCUUUACUGCUGGUAGGUAGACUACAGAUUUGCACCCGUUGGUGAUUGAGAGAUCUGAGGUACUCUGUUCAGUAUGUUUCCAAAUUUUAAUGUGAUUUAACCCGGAACGUAUAGGUGUCAAGGUUUCGGAUUGCAUGGGAUAAUUAUUUUUUUGGCCGACGGAUGGAAAUAUCUUGAUUCCCUUGCUGGUCCGUGGUGCACAACUAUAGGAGUGAACAAUCAUCUUACCUCAUAUUGUUUUUUUGAAGUUAGUCUAUCAGCAUUGAGUUGGUCAUCCCCUGGAUAGUUGUACGAAGAGGUCUCAGGUUCGAAUGCACUGACGCUGUUUAUUCGAAGUUGGUAUAUCUGCUGGUGUCCAAUAAUUAAGUUGGUGUUCGUCAAUUGCUACUGCUUGAUAGUUGUCCAGUAUUAGUGCUUAUAUAUUUUUCUGGGAAUUUGUAGGUGGGAAUGAACAAAAACUUGAAUUUAUAGUGCUGCUGCAGCUAACAACCCAGUGUUGGGAAACACCUCAUUUGAUAAACACCCUCUCAAUGAUUCCCUCUAUAUUAUUAGUCUCUAUUGACUUUCGUAGUUGUAUUGUCAUUUUAAUUAAUCUAUUGUAAUCUAUUAUUGCUACUGCAAAAGAAAUUUCUCACAGCCAACACAUUAAAAAGCAAAUCGUAGAAACAGAUGGAGCACGUGGUGGUGGUGGGCCUGGUGGCUUCUGAUGCAACAUUUAUGACUCCUAACAGAAUUGGGUUAGUGUUUCUACAUCUAAUGUUUGCUGUUUUGGAAGCAUCUAUGAUUAGAUGUACCAAUGCUAACCCAAUAUUAGUCGGAAAAAGAAAGAAGACACUACCAGUUAUCUGUAUGUUAGGGGAUGGCUUAAUGAACCUAUUGAGGUUAGAAUUGUGUAGAAGAAUUCAUGUGGUCUUUCAACAAGAACAGAGGUAUAUUCUGGUGGAACAGGUUGGUAUACCCUUCUUUCUAUGUUGAUAGCGCACUUGCAGGUAACAUAACAACUUACCUUUUUCUCUAUUGGGCUGCUUUGCAACUAUAUUCUUAAAGGACACCUACGAAUAUGUGGCCACUGGCAACGAGUGUUUAUUCUUUCUCUCUAUAUAUUUUUCAUCUGCGAAUCUCUAAUGUCUUCGAAAGGAUUUUUAUGUUGUUGGCAAGAUUCUUUUUAUUAAGCAGCCUUGCAUCCAUCACAGGUAUAUAUAAUACAACUAUUUCAUAUCCAGCUUUAUUCACUGCACAUAUCGGUUUGCGAAACUCCGCGUCCCUCAGCUGGACCCUUUUGUUGGGAAGUUAGUAAUUCGUGUGGUAUUAUUAUGGACUUACUAUGCCUGUCUAUUAACAAUGUAAUCUUUAAUUUUCUGUUUCUCUUUAUAGAUAAAUGAUCACGAGAAUUAAGCUUUUCCACUUUUGUGUAGUGCAAGCAUAACUGAGGAGCUUUGUAUGUGCAAUCUAAAACCUUAGAGCUUGAAUCCAGGCUUAGUUCUGUUGUAUUAAUUCGAUUAUGGCUUCCCUGAUUAGAUGUUUCUAAUGUGAAGGAUCCAAUUUCAUUAAGUGCGUAUGAUGUGGGGUUAACUACUUAAUCAUAUUUCUGGCUUGAAAAUGAGUUAUGGGUUAUGUUCCAGGCAAUUGACAAUGAUUGUAAUUUAUUAGAGAUUUUGUUAUGAUUAAUUACUGUUUCUUGGUUUUGUUUAUUGGUUUGGUGCUUAAUCAGGCCAAAUAUAUGUUACACUGUGGACAGUGUUAUUGUUUACUUUACUCCUGAAAAAUCUUUGACCUGUAUUGUACUGAACAGUAUAUAAAACGGGUAGUCUUGCAAACCUUUGAAUCUUUUUUUUUGCUUAGACUUUUGGGCAAAUCUUAUAUGGAAAUGUAGAAAUGGGCAUGAGAUUUUGAGUACUGGAAUCUUAUCACUUUUUUGAAUGAAUUAGUUUGAGUUCAGCAAAACGGUGAGUUUCCUGGGCAUGUAAUGUGUUAGAUCACAAUAUAUGCGCAGAAGGGUUAGUUUGUGGAGCAUGGAAGUUUUUUUUUUAAACAAUAUGUUUAUUGAUUUCUCUUUGAUGUGUUACAUGGUGUUGAUGAUAAGAUCGUCUUUUUAUUCUUCUAUUGUGUUGGGAUUUAUGACAAGCAUUAUUACCUAUAAAUUGAUAGUGGUAGAUGGAAUUCAUCUUCAGUUUUUACGAACAUCCGGUUCUUUACAUUACCUUUGAUUUGUGAAUUUUUGCAAGACCAAAAUCUAAGACUGCAAAAUAUUUAUUCCUUAAGAGGGUUUGAACUGUAUAAACUAACUUUGGAAACGUUUUUUUUUACAGGUUUGAACUAUAAUACAAACAAGCCUUCAUCUUCGUGAAGAUGCACAGUUCAUAAGGCGGUGAAAUCUUCUACUUCGUGAAGAUGCAUAGUUCAUAAGGCUACGAAAUCGUCUAAUGAUGGAAACGUAGCAUCUGUGUAACAGUCGGGCAGCUACCAAGUCUAAUCCAUGCAAUAUCACUUGGAAAUUGAUAGUGGUUUAAUGUGUAGCCUAAAUUAUACGGAGAUGGUAUUUAGCAGUAACAGAAACGUAGCAUCCGUGCAACAGUGAAAUAGCUUCAAAGCCCGAGGGCAUACCAUACAAAGGAAUCAAAUUCGAAACUGAUCUAUUAAGAUACGUACAGAAUUCUAUUGUAUUUGUAUUUUUAGUUCAUUUUUACCAAAGUUUGUUCUGACAAUUACAGUGAUUA